UUGCCUGUCAGGUGUGGACUUGUGU
rnacentral:piRNA from 1 species